UGCGCUUUGCCCCCGCCCCUUCCGGCGGCAACGUCAUCCCCGCCUCUUCCGCCGGUGCUUCUGUCCCGGCGGGGCGGGCGGGCGCGGUAUGGGGGUCACCUGCGUGGCGCAGGUGCCGGUGGCGGAGGGGAAGAGCCUGCAGCAGACGGUGGAGAUCCUGACGCGGAAACUGGAGCUGCUGGGGGCCGAGAAGCAGGGAACCUUCUGCGUGGACUGCGAGACCUACCACACCGCCGCUUCCACCAUCAGCAGCCAAGGGCAGACAGGCAAGCUGAUGUAUGUGAUGCACAACGCCGAAUAUCCCCUCAGCUGCUUUGCUCUCUUUGAAAACGGUCCCUGCCUCAUAGCAGAUGCCAACUUUGAUAUCCUUAUGGUGAAGUUGAAAGGCUUCUUCCAAAACGCCAAGGCGAACAAGAUAGAGAGCCGGGGCACCCGCUACCAGUACUGUGACUUCUUGGUGAAGGUGGGCACAGUUACAAUGGGGCCCAGUGCCCGUGGGAUAUCUGUGGAGGUGGAGUACUGCCCCUGUGUGAUAGCUAACGACUGCUGGAACCUGCUCAUGGAGUUCAUGCAGAGCUUCAUGGGGAACCACACUCCCGGCAUCCCGUCCGUGUUUGGCACCAAGCACGACAGCAUCUACAGCCCAGCAGACACGAUGGUUCAGUACAUGGAGCUGUUCAACAAAAUCCGCAAGCAGCAGCAGGUGCCUGUAGCGGGGAUCAGAUGAAAGGACUCCCUGGAGCCUGGUUUAGAGCGACUGCAUCCUCUUUUCUACCUGCCCAUCUGGAUCAGGAUUCCCUCCAAAAAGUGGCACUGGAGGCAGCCCAAGAUGAUACUGAUGAAGCCUUGUGAUAAAUAAAUAAAUAAGCCUGGCAGGAGCCCUCUCAUGCAUUGAAAGAGAAUACCAACCGCUUUGUCGCUUUGUUUGAAAGGUAGGUAAUAAAUGUCCUAUCCCUGCACACCAUUUCUCAUUUGAGAAAUCUUGGUGACUUCAGCGGAUUUAAUGGAGUAAGGAAGGACUUGGGGAGUAAGAGCCAAAAAUUUAUUAUAAGACUUAAUGAUACAGUAUCACUCAAAUAUUUUUUUUUAGUGGCGAUUUAUUUUUACAGCUGGAAAACCAGGGAAAUCAGAUCCCUUUUGAGCAAUCUGUCCCCUUGGUUUUACUUGUUCAGUAUCUGUCCAGCUUGUAGCUGUCAUUUUUUCUUCUCCUCCCUGCUCCACUCCCUGCUCAGUCUCAGAAUACGGAAACACCCUCAUUCAGCCACGGACCUUUGCACUGAGCUUUCUUCGUGGUUCCUGCGAAGGCUGUGUGUAGCAGGGUUCCAGCUCUGCAGCCUGUGUGCUGGACAUAAAGGGCAGGUGUAGAGAAGGUCUAAGGAUGGUUUUAGGAAGGGAGAUUUGCAAGAAGGAUGGUGGGUUCCUCGUGAAGAAGCAGUGUGUGUCUUGCUCACAGAAAAUAUUGCUGGUUCCUUCCCAACAUGUGGGUCUUGAAGAGUCUGAAGAGCAAGUAAAACAGAAAUAGAUUUCUCCUAAAUAGAUUUUUCCUUCUGAAGCAGUGGGGGGGAAAAGAAGCUGUGUUGUUACUUGAUUUGCUGACUGGUGGAGAACUAGUUAUUUAGAUAUGACUUCUUUGUGAUUAUCAUUUAUACCUGUAAACCUAAUUAACUGUUAGAGUGCCUAGAGCUUUUAGUGUGGGCAUUUAAUAAAUUUAAUCAGCACUGGGUCCAGAAAGAUCUGGUUAAUGAGCCAUAAUAAAUGGCAUAAUGUACCAUAAGUGUGUUAGAAAUUCCAACAUGCUGAAUAUACUGGAUUUUUGCAACUCUUAGCUCAAGUUCAUGACACGUGUGCUGACUUCAGUGGGACUAUUAAUUUUCAGUGGUGAAAAUUCAGUGAGAAUCUGACCUGCUGUCAUUCCACAUAGUUAAGCGUGGCUGGCAAAACUUAUGAAAACAAACUGUAGUCUUUGUAGGGAUAGUUAUUUCUGUCCUGUGUCCCAUUUUAAGUCUUAAGGUUGAAAAAAAAAAUACCUUUUAAUGGUCAGAUUAGUCAUGCUGAAUGUUGCUAAUGCUUUAUUAAUUCCCAAAAGAUGCGUUCUGUAACCAGAGAUGUCAAAACUCCGGUCACAUGUCUUAAAAACAUAAAAAGUGUGCUGGAAUCUCUGGGGACUUCUGUGUUCUUUAUUAAUACAUUGUACUGUUCCUAGAGUAAUAAAAUGGGACCCCUUGA